rnacentral:rRNA from 1 species
AAUAAACGCUGGCGGCGUGCCUAACACAUGCAAGUCGAGCGAGAAAGCUCCUUCGGGAGUUAGUAAAGCGGCGAACGGGUGAGCAACACGUGAGAAUCUACCCUUUAGUGAAGAAUACCCUCGAGAAAUCGAGGCUAAUACUGCAUACGUCCCUUCGGGGAGAAAGAUGGCCUCUUUGCUAUCGCUAAAGGAUGAGCUUGCGUACUAUUAGCUAGUUGGCGGGGUAAAGGCCCACCAAGGCAAUGAUGGUUAACCGGCCUGAGAGGGUGUACGGUCACACUGGAACUUAGACACGGUCCAGACUCCUACGGGAGGCAGCAGUGAGGAAUCUUGCGCAAUGGGCGAAAGCCUGACGCAGCGACGCCGCGUGGAGGAUGACGGUUUUCGGAUUGUAAACUCCUGUUAAGCGGGAAGAAAGCCUUGUUUCUAAUACAAGCAAGGUAUGACGGUACCGCUAGAGAAAGCACCGGCUAACUUCGUGCCAGCAGCCGCGGUAAAGUCGUC